UGAGGAAUAUUGGUCAAUGGGCGCAAGCCUGAACCAGCCAUCCCGCGUGAAGGAAGAAUGCGCUACGCGUUGUAAACUUCUUUUCCAGGGGGAGAAUUUUCCUGUCGAGACAGGGAUUGACGGUACCCUGGGAAUAAGCAUCGGCUAACUCCGUGCCAGCAGCCGCGGUACUACGGAGUAUGCGAGCGUUAUCCGGAUUCUUUGGGUUUAAAGGGUGCGUAGGCGGAUUGAUAAGUCAGUGGUGAUAUUCUGCAGCUCAACUGUAGACUUGCCGUUGAUACUGUUAGUCUUGAGUGUGGUCAAGGAAGGCGGAAUGUAUAAUGUAGCGGUGAAAUGCUUAGAUAUUACACAGAACACCGAUUGCGAAGACAGCUUGCUGGGUCAUUACUGACGCUGAUGCACGAAAGCGUGGG
rnacentral:rRNA from 1 species